UGUACAAAGGUCUCUUGAUUAAAAAGGAUGAAUCAUUUCAUGGUUUAUUAUUAUUAUUUUAUAUAUAUGUGUGUGUAUAUAUAUGUGUGUGUGAGAGAGAGAGAGAAAAAUGAAGAAGGAAAAAGCCUUCAAAGUAAAAAUGAAAGGCAAAUUUGGAUAGUUUACAUAAUACCUUAUAUAAGUGGGGAAUACCAAGAUAAUAAGAUUAUUUAAUAAUAGCAAAUGAAUCAAAUAGAAUACUUUUGGAUGCUUAUCUAUCUCUGCCAACACAGUCUCAUAGUAUAACAAUGCUAUAUGUUACUCGUGUAAUUGUCACAUGACAUGGCAAGCCAUUGUUAUGGCAAGCUAAAAAAACAAUUUGAAGAUAAUAGGUUACGGUCUACAUCAAAACGAUUUUAACAAAGUACGCAAGGACGGCUUAUAUAUUUUUAAUUUUCUUAAAUCCAUCAUAUUAUAACUGCAAUUCUGAAGAAAUGAAAUAUUUUCCCGCUGCGAAUACAACAGUUCUGUUAUACGAAGAACGAAAAAAUAGAAUAUGAUAUAGCGCAUAUUGCGUUACGAAAUUCUUUUAUUCCCGUAUUUUUCCAAGAAUAUAUUGUGAUUCUAGAAAACAAAGAGCGUAAUUAGCAUAGGAACGAAAUAGAAAGGAAGAAAGAAGAGAUAAUGUUAUUAGAAUAGAAUGUUAUCAAUCGUAACAGUUCACGGACAUUAAAAACGUUCGAAAAAAAAAAGUCGAUGGCAAUCGGAUAUAGCGAAAUUAGAGAUAGUCUAUUUCUAUUUACAAACAAUGAGCGUUUAUUUAAAUGACCAUAAAGGCUUAUGAAAAGAUAAAGCGCAUUAAUUAAACGGUUAUUGACCUCUGCGUUUCAAUAACAAAACGAACAUAACGCUAUCUUGUUUCAACCCGAUUGAUUAAAUUUAUUCUGGAAGGUGCAUAAUAUGUCAAUUAUCCUCUACUGGACGACACAGAAGCCCACUGCUAUACGUUAUAGCUAUUCUUGUAACACAGGAAGUAGCAAAUAACGGCGGAGAAUUGUCGCAAACGAGGGAGAUUAAUCGUAAAUACGACAGAGAGGCGAAAGAGCGUAAGAAAACGUGGACGGCGUUGCCGACUUAUUUAGUUGUAAAAUUAAGUAAAGAAAGAGCUAAUGAAGAAGGAAGAAAGAACGCAAGAAUAAAAGAGAAAAAGAGGGGAAAGAAAGAAAGAAAGAAAGUAAAAGAGGAAAGCAAAAAAGCGAUAUCGUCCGUGACGGAAAACCGAAUUUUUUCAUUUGUAGAAAACAACGAGAAAAAGAUAAAAAAGAAGUGACGUACCUUGACGGUAAUAUUUGGCUUAUUGUUUAGAAUCCGUGAUUCGACACUUCUGCGGGUUCGUUGAUAUGACGUUUCUCCAUUAUCGUCGUGGUUGUUGCUGUCUUUAUUGAAAAUAAUGGUCUUCCUGGAUUGCAAAGAUCCGGUAUCCUCAACGAUGUGCAAAGUCUUUGGUUUAUCACCGAAUCUUUCGCCAUUAUUAGAACCGGUGAGGAAGAACAGAUAAAAUGCAAGGGCGCAAUAACAAAAGACCGAACUCGUCCCGCCGGCCAUCUUGCUCAGACUGACUUUUUUCAAUGACAGGAUGAAUACACGCAAUAGCAAUGGGAGGGGAAAGGAGGGAAUGUAUGCGGCGUUUUCACGCAUGCGCAUUAAGUUAUGCGUGCUAAUACGCAAGCAACAUGGAUGAGUAAUCACCAAAGCGCGCGCGCGCGCACGUAUUACAUAUACAUCAAAUCGCGAAUCUUCUCGAGAUGUACAUGUAGAGACGAAGAAAAAAUCUUUAUGCGUGAUAUAUGGCGAUUCGUAUAUGUAUACGAUAUCAUGUUUGGAAUGUAAAAUAUUAUGUAUUGUAAAAUUAUUUAAACGAAAUAUCGAUAGUAAAUUUUCUACGUACCUUGCACAUGACGAAUUUUUAUUCUGUCUUAUAAGUAUAAACAUUUAAUUAUAUACUGUGAUUCCAUCGAGUUUUGAAAACCGGAUAAAGCAGUAAAUCGAAGCACUAGGAAUAGUACUAUUGUCUAAAGUCAUUCUUUUCUUUGUAUUGG